rnacentral:rRNA from 1 species
UGGGGAAUAUUGGACAAUGGGCGAAAGCCUGAUCCAGCCAUGCCGCGUGUGUGAAGAAGGUCUUCGGAUUGUAAAGCACUUUAAGUUGGGAGGAAGGGCAGUAAGCGAAUACCUUGCUGUUUUGACGUUACCGACAGAAUAAGCACCGGCUAACUCUGUGCCAGCAGCCGCGGUAAUACAGAGGGUGCAAGCGUUAAUCGGAAUUACUGGGCGUAAAGCGCGCGUAGGUGGUUCGUUAAGUUGAAUGUGAAAGCCCCGGGCUCAACCUGGGAACUGCAUCCAAAACUGGCGAGCUAGAGUAGGGCAGAGGGUGGUGGAAUUUCCUGUGUAGCGGUGAAAUGCAUAGAUAUAGGAAGGAACACCAGUGGCGAAGGCGACCACCUGGGCUCAUACUGACACUGAGGUGCGAAAGCGUGGGGAGCAAACAGG